GCUGUAGUCCCGGAAGUGACUCCAACGCUUUGUUUGGUGGUCCGGGAAGGCACUUGGCGGACCCCUCUGCAUCCGAGCCGCGACUUCAGAUCCUCGGGGGAGCGUAAACGGGGCAGGGGGGAUAGACGGACCUCCAAGGUGCACCCUAGGAUUUUUUUCCUGGUGGGGCUCCACUCAUCUCAACUUUCCACCUGCGAGGACAGACAAGGACCUGCUGGCCUGCGGAGGAAGAUACAUCUCUUACAGAGAAGACUUCGAAACCACAGUGGGAGAGACCACUGCAAGUACUUCUCACCACCUUCACUGCAAUCAAAAUCAAAGAGCAAAACGCCUAAAUUCAUCACUCUCGGGUGAAGAAGGCCCAGAAACACCUUGAGGAGUGACGCCAGGAGAAAAUGAACUGAGACUAAAACUUACUCGAGCAUAAUGAGUAUAUUGCGGUCGAAAGUAGCUCAUAUUUUAGUUUGUAGAAUUGUUUUGUGUGUAAUCAUAACUGAAGUUUUAGAACUUGAGAGUACCUUUAUUCAGAGCAAUGCUGAAUAGCCUUAGUCCCAAGCGUUUAAUCAGUAUACUAGAUCCAUGAGAAAACCUUCUGAGAUAAAAGAUUUAAACCUAUCCAGUGUAGUAAUUCAUAGAGAUCAAAUAUAUGAAGAGCAAGAAUAGCAAAAACAGAAACUGUGGACACUUCAAGAGAUUAGAAGAGAAGAAAUCAAAGUAAAGUGCCAAAUGAUAAAUGAGACGGCUUAUGAAAGACCAAAUGAAAUUAGUGUCUCAACCUCUCCUAGUGCAUAUAAACACCAAAAAAAUCUGUGAUAGCCUAAAUGAAUCAGACUGCUAGUGUAAUUUCACCUUAAUACAGCCUGUAGAAAUAACUUGCCUUUGGGCACACAAAGAUAUCGGGCUUUCAUUUAAAUUCAAAAUAGACACUACACCUUUUACCACAGAAGGACCCUAUACAGCCCACACCAAGACUCAAAUAGUUGAGACUCAACCCAAACUUGAACCUGAAGUGUAUAGAAUAAGCCCCUAUGUAGUAAAGAAUGUGAGUGAGCAACAACUAUUAUUCAAUCCAGAAUGGUCUCUCAAACGUGUGGUGUUGAUAAUGCAAAUUAACAUCUCAAAAAUCCAACCAGCCUGC